UUUUAUGAUGAGUCGCUUUACACAUGCAUGGCUUUCUGAAGUCCCGUGACAAGGACUCCUUGUUGAUAGACAGCAACUUCUCUGAUC
rnacentral:snoRNA from 1 species